UCGAACGGAGUUAUAUUAUAGCUUGCUAUGGUAUAACUUAGUGGCAGACGGGUGAGUAAUGUAUAGGAAUCUACCUAGUAGUACGGAAUAAUUGUUGGAAACGGCAACUAAUACCGUAUACGCCCUACGGGGGAAAAAUUUAUUGCUAUUAGAUGAGCCUAUAUUAGAUUAGCUAGUUGGUGGGGUAAUAGCCUACCAAGGCAAUGAUCUAUAGCUGAUCUGAGAGGAUGAUCAGCCACACUGGAACUGAGAUACGGUCCAGACUUCUACGGGAGGCAGCAGUGGGGAAUAUUGGACAAUGGGCGAAAGCCUGAUCCAGCCAUGUCGCAUGAGUGAAGAAGGCCUUUGGGUUGUAAAGCUCUUUUAGUGAGGAAGAUAAUGACGGUACUCACAGAAGAAGUCCUGGCUAACUCCGUGCCAGCAGCCGCGGUAAUACGGAGAGGGCUAGCGUUAUUCGGAAUUAUUGGGCGUAAAGGGCGCGUAGGCUGAUUAAUAAGUUAAAAGUGAAAUCCCGAGGCUUAACCUUGGAAUUGCUUUUAAAACUAUUAAUCUAGAGAUUGAAAGAGGAUAGAGGAAUUCCUGAUGUAGAGGUAAAAUUCGUAAAUAUUAGGAGGAACACCAGUGGCGAAGGCGUCUAUCUGGUUCAAAUCUGACGCUGAGGCGCGAAGGCGUGGGGAGCAAACAGGAUU
rnacentral:rRNA from 1 species